GAUGAAGAACGUAGCGAAAUGCGAUAAGUAAUGUGAAUUGCAGAAUUCAGUGAAACAUCGAAUCUUUGAACGCACCUUGCACCCUUUGGUAUUCCGAAGGGUAUGCUCGUUUGAGUGUCAUUGUACUCUCACACUUCUAAUUCCUUUCGGGAUUGGGAGCGGUGGACUUGGGUGUUGCUGCUUUAGUUGUGGCUCACCUCAAAUAAGUUAGUGCAACUCUUGGUUGGACAUAGUACGGCGUGAUAAGUGUCUUCGCCGGCGCCUCUGUAAGGAGGGUGGCCGAUCGGGAGCUCUGUGCUUCAAACCGUCUUCGGACAAUCUUUGACAACUUGACCUCAAAUCGAGUAGGACUACCCGCUGAACUUAAGCAUAUCAAUAGCGGAGGA
rnacentral:misc_RNA from 1 species